UUGAAGUGCCACGAACUGAUGCGACAUCAAAAUGGCACGAAAUCCACUUUUGAAAUUCCCGGCAGAAGGAAGUGAGAACACAAAUACACACACACACACACACAGACCACCGGAGCCUGCAUGCUGUCAAUCACAAGCGCUGCUCAAUCGAAUUGAAAGGGGCACGAAAGUGGUGCGAAAUUUUCAAUUCCCAUCCGUCCGUCCGGUGGGAGAGCGUGUUGGGAAGAGGGAAGAAGAGGACGGUGAGUUCCCGCUCAAAAGCAGCUUUUCCCAUUUCCAGUAUGCAAAGCGAGUCGCGAUCGCGAUGUUUGUGGCCAAACAAAGGCAUGAAAAAUCGCCCGCUUCCAGGCGGAAGCAUAAAUCCAAUCAAUGGUUCAUCAUCAAUUUUUCGCCAGCAUCCGCACAGACAAACACACACACACGUACGGACCUUUCUACCCGGAAAGGGUUAUCCCACCGCAAACAGCUCAUUUCGCACAAACCAGCCACAACCGCCCACCAUCACAUCCCGCAUCGCUGCGUUAAAAGCUGCAUCUAUGCUGCAUGAAAUAUGCUGUCGUCAUAUUUCUUGCCGUCUGACAGCAUGAGUCCCGUACGGAAAUGCCAAGGAAAAGCGUACAACAACAUUCCUUCGUUCGGCCCCUUUCCACCCCAUCGAGGGGAAAAUCGUACUCGCGAGCAAGGCUGUUGCGGCAGGCCUGCCGGAUGUAAAAUUAUCACCUGAAGCUCAUGAUUUAUUGAGAUUCCGGCGGUGGUCCGUUGCCAGUGCUCGAUUAAAAUACUCCAGACGCGGGCGCGCGCGCUCUCGCUUCAGGGAAGACACAUGAUCGUCGCCGUAGGAGAUGCGAGAUGACGUCGUACCAGUACCAGUACCACCAGAAACAGCAGGAACAGCAGCAUGUGGGGAGGAACAUGAGCUCACGCAGCAUGGGAUGUAGAUUAACGUUUAAAGUGGGCACGAAGGUAUAUGAUACAUUUUGACGUUUUUAAUGGUUGGCGUUCAUAACUCAUAAUGCAAAAGGACUUUUACAUGAUCCAAGCAUUGUUCAUUAGGAAGGGACGUUAAUUGAAUUUAUCGUAGAAUGUGUUA